rnacentral:rRNA from 1 species
GAUGAACGCUGGCGGCGUGCCUAAUACAUGCAAGUCGAGCGAACGGACGAGAAGCUUGCUUCUCUGAUGUUAGCGGCGGACGGGAGAGUAACACGUGGAUAACCUACCUAUAAGACUGGGAUAACUUCGGGAAACCGGAGCUAAUACCGGAUAAUAUUUUGAACCGCAUGGUUCAAAAGUGAAAGACGGUCUUGCUGUCACUUAUAGAUGGAUCCGCGCUGCAUUAGCUAGUUGGUAAGGUAACGGCUUACCAAGGCAACGAUGCAUAGCCGACCUGAGAGGGUGAUCGGCCACACUGGAACGUGGACACGGUCCAGACUCCUACGGGAGGCAGCAGUCGGGAAUCUUCCGCAAUGGGCGAAAGCCUGACGGAGCAACGCCGCGUGAGUGAUGAAGGUCUUCGGAUCGUAAAACUCUGUUAUUAGGGAAGAACAUAUGUGUAAGUAACUGUGCACAUCUUGACGGUACCUAAUCAGAAAGCCACGGCUAACUACGUG